rnacentral:rRNA from 1 species
UACAGAGGGGGCAAGCGUUAUUCGGAAUUAUUGGGCGUAAAGGGCGCGUAGGCGGCAUCGCAAGUGGAAGGUGAAAUCCCUCGGCUUAACCGAGGAACUGCCCUCCAAACUGCUGUGCUUGAGUGUGGGAGAGGCGCGUGGAAUUGCAGGUGUAGCGGUGAAAUGCGUAGAUAUCUGCAGGAACACCCGUGGCGAAAGCGGCGCGCUGGACCACUACUGACGCUGAGGAACGAAAGCUAGGGGAGCAAACAGG